UAAGCAUAUCAAUAAGCGGAGGAAAAGAAACUAACAAGGAUUCCCCUAGUAACUGCGAGUGAAGCGGGAAAAGCUCAAAUUUAAAAUCUGGCAGUCUUUGGCUGUCCGAGUUGUAGUCUGGAGAAGCGUCUUCCGCGCUGGACCGUGUACAAGUCUCCUGGAACGGAGCGUCAUAGAGGGUGAGAAUCCCGUCUUUGACACGGACUACCAGUGCUUUGUGAUGCGCUCUCAAAGAGUCGAGUUGUUUGGGAAUGCAGCUCAAAAUGGGUGGUGAACUCCAUCUAAAGCUAAAUAUUGGCGAGAGACCGAUAGCGAACAAGUACCGUGAGGGAAAGAUGAAAAGCACUUUGGAAAGAGAGUUAAACAGUACGUGAAAUUGCUGAAAGGGAAACGCUUGAAGUCAGUCGCGUUUGCUAGAACUCAGCCUGGCUUUUGCUUGGUGCAUUUUCUAGUAAACGGGCCAGCAUCACUUUUGGUUGCGGGAUAAAGGUCGCAGGAAUGUGGCACCUUCGGGUGUGUUAUAGCCUGUGAUUGCAUACCGUGGCCGGGAGUGAGGAACUCAGCACGCAUUUGUUGUGCUUAGGAUGCUGGCGUAAUGGCUUUAAACGACCCGUCUUG
rnacentral:rRNA from 1 species